UUAUAAUAAAAUUAAUUAAUAAAAAAUUAAAUGAAAACAUUAAAUUAAAAUAAUUUGGCGGUAUUUUAAAUAGUUAGAGGAAUUUGUUAGUUAAAUGAUAAUCCACGAAUGGAAUGUCUUAAUGAAGUUUUUAUAUAUUGUUGUAUUAAAAUUAUUUUAAGAGAAGUAUAAUUAAAAUAUUAUAUUUAAUUUUAAUUCAAAUCAAAAUGUAGAAUUAUUAAGAUUAAAUGAAUUACAGUUUAAUAUAAUAUUGAUAUUAUUUUUUUAAUUAAAAUAGUAAAAAAGAAUUUAAAAGUAAAUUUAAAUAAAUAUUUAAAUUGAAAUUUUAUCUAAAAUAUG
rnacentral:rRNA from 1 species